GUGCCCUCUUCGGCAACACAUGUACUAAAACUUGAACUAUAUAGAGAAGCUUAGCAUGGCCCCCAUAGCAAGGAUGACAUGCAAAUUUGUGAGGUGUUCCAUAUUUUG
ensembl:snRNA U6 U6 spliceosomal RNA